CAACAAACCCCGAAAACAGCAAGUGGAUAUGGAGAAAUUGGAUCCCUGGUGCACUGUUGGUGGGAACACAGAAUGGAGCAGCUGCUAUGGAAAACAGUAUGGAGAUUCCUAAAAAAUUAAAAAUAUAAUUACCGUAUAAUCUCAUAACCCCACUUCUGGGUAGAUAUCCAAAAGAAUUAAAAGCAGGAUCUCGAAGACAUCUUUGCAUACUCAUGUUCUUUGCAGCAUUACUUAUAACAACCAAGAGGUGGAAGCAACCUGAAUGUCCACGGACUGAUGAAUGGAUGCAGAAAAUGUGGUAUAUACAUAUGAUGGACUAUUAUUCAGCCUUAGAAAGAAAGAAGUCUUGUCACAUGCUACAACUUAGAUGAACCUUGAGGACAUUAUACAAAGUGAAAUAAGCUAGUCAUAAAAAAGACAAAUAUUGCAGGAUUCUACUUGUAUGAGUGCCACCACGCUGGGAUUUUGUAAUUAUGAGCUUCAAAAGCAGAGACAACAUCUUCUAUUUCUGUGUCUCUUCCUACGGUGAAUAAUAUAGUCCUUGCCGUUUCAAUGUUAACAAAA
rnacentral:lncRNA from 10 species